UACGUAGGGAGCAAGCGUUGUCCGGAAUCAUUGGGCGUAAAGCGCGCGUAGGUGGCCACAUAAGUCCGUUGUGAAAGUCAAAGGCUCAACCUUUGAAAGCCGAUGGAUACUGUGUGGCUAGAGUACGGAAGAGGCGAGUGGAAUUCCUGGUGUAGCGGUGGAAUGCGCGGAUAUCAGGAGGAACACCAAUAGCGAAGGCAGCUCACUGGGACGUUACUGACACUGAGGCGCGAAAGCGUGGGGAGCGAACAGG
rnacentral:rRNA from 1 species